rnacentral:lncRNA from 1 species
ACCUUCCUUUCAGAAAGUAUAUUCGACUUCCUGCAUCUCUUCGAUCAUGGGACAUAGUAUAAAUCUGUGCUACGCUUAGUUUUGUAUGCUGAACAGGUAUUUUCUUAAGUUUUGCAAAUACUUGAAUAAUUUAAAUUUCAUUCCACUGUAAAAUUUAACUCACAUAUUUAGGGAUAUAUUAUAUGAACUAGCAUUUUCCCUUUCUCUACAAUUUUUGGAAAAUAAGCAAAUAUCACCCUUGUUUUGCAGGCUGGCAGUCAGGACAGAAUUGUUAAGUCAUUUGACAUGGAAGAGUUUUUGCACCUGGAAACUAAGUGGAAGCAUGGAAUCCAUGAGGGCAACAGAACCUUAGCCACUGAGGCUAGUGGGCAUUUAUAGCAGCGUCAGGCAUGUUCAGCAAAUGCACUUCUUUAGUAAGGCAGUACAGAGAUGCUGUAUUAGGCUGACCUCAACAAUACUGGAAGGAAAAAAUGUGAGCCUGAAUCAUGAAUUAACUUAGGUGAGCUGUUUCCUUUACAUGUUCUGGAUGUGUUCAUACCAAGGUAUUUUUCCUGGAAAGAGAAUGUUUGCUGGGAGCCAGACCUCCUCAUGUCCAUCUCCUUCCAAGGUGGGUGAAGCUCAUUCUCUCUGCACAUUCUUUUCCCAUCUUUUGC